AGUGGCGGACGGGUGAGUAACGCGUGGAAAACCUGCCGUAUACCGGGGGGAUAACACUUAGAAAUAGGUGCUAAUACCGCAUAAGCGCACAGCUUCGCAUGAAGCAGUGUGAAAAACUCCGGUGGUAUACGAUGGUUCCGCGUCUGAUUAGCUAGUUGGCGGGGUAACGGCCCACCAAGGCAGCGAUCAGUAGCCGGCCUGAGAGGGUGAACGGCCACAUUGGGACUGAGACACGGCCCAAACUCCUACGGGAGGCAGCAGUGGGGAAUAUUGCACAAUGGGGGAAACCCUGAUGCAGCGACGCCGCGUGAGUGAAGAAGUAUUUCGGUACGUAAAGCUCUAUCAGCAGGGAAGAAAAUGACGGUACCUGACUAAGAAGCCCCGGCUAGCUACGUGCCAGCAGCCGCGGUAAUACGUAGGGGGCAAGCGUUAUCCGGAUUUACUGGGUGUAAAGGGAGCGUAGACGGCAGCGCAAGUCUGGAGUGAAAUGCCGGGGCCCAACCCCGGAACUGCUUUGGAAACUGUGCAGCUUGAGUGCGGGAGAGGUAAGUGGAAUUCCUAGUGUAGCGGUGAAAUGCGUAGAUAUUAGGAGGAACACCAGUGGCGAAGGCGGCUUACUGGACCGUAACUGACGUUGAGGCUCGAAAGC
rnacentral:rRNA from 1 species